CACCCCUAUAUAAAAACAACAGAGUCCAAACCCAAACACCAAUGUCCCAAGUGAUGUCGCACUGCAAAUACCUUUAAAUUUUCUUAUUCGGUAUUUGAUCAGACACUUAGUCUGACAAACAAUUUAAAAGAAAGGGAGAAUUGGGGUGGGUGGUGGAAGCAGAACACCUGAACAUCAUAAAACACAGCACAACACUAGUUGAAAUAAAAAAUGGCCUCUGUUUUAUGGAGGAGGAACUGGAAACUUGACAGGAAGCAGUACUCUCCACCCACUUCAACUCCCAACAUUGCUUUGAGAAGGAACUUUGGCUAGGUAGCCACCGACAUUCUCUAAAAUAAAAAGAUGUUUGACAUUGGCACUGCUUUUUAUGUGAACAAUCUGAAUCUUUCUUGGAAAAUUCCCACCUUAAGAGAGUGCUACAUCUGAUCAACUUCAGAAUUUUCUAAGGUCCAUUCCAUUACCUGCUCUAGUCCAAAAUGAAGCCACCUUUCUGUUACAUGAACAGUUUUGACCAAUUCCACAUGAUUUACAUCAGCUGAACGCAUAUACCUUGUGUGGUAAA